UACCUCCAAAGGAAGCACCGGCUAACCCCGUGCCAGCAGCCGCGGUAAUACGGGGGGUGCAAGCGUUAAUCGGAAUUACUGGGCGUAAAGCGCGCGUAGGCGGCUUUGUAAGUCAGAGGUGAAAGCCCACGGCUCAACCGUGGAACUGCCUUUGAUACUGCUUAGCUUGAGUUUGUGAGAGGAUAGUGGAAUUCCUGGUGUAGGAGUGAAAUCCGUAGAUAUCAGGAGGAACAUCAGUGGCGAAGGCGGCUGUCUGGCACAACACUGACGCUGAGGUGCGAAAGCGUGGGUAUCAAACAGGAUUAGAUACCCUGGUAGUCCACGCUGUAAACGAUGGAUACUAGGUGCUGGGAAUUUAUUCUCGGUGCCGUAGUUAACGCAUUAAGUAUCCCGCCUGGGGAGUACGGUCGCAAGGCUGAAACU
rnacentral:rRNA from 1 species